rnacentral:sRNA from 1 species
UGUCGCGGCCCUCCUUGAGGGCGUUUCCUCCCUAGACUUGGGCCGCUUGUUCGUUCGAGCGGCCCUUUUUCUUUGACCA